AGCUGUGAACUUUAAUCUACACAAGAAUCUAUCUUCAAACGAAAUUAACGAAACAGAAUUUACAACAAAAGUAAAAUACAAUCCACCAAACGUGAGAACAUGUAAUGACUAUUGCAAGCAUCCACAACCUCGUUUUCAUCUGCACAG